CCGCGGUAAUACAGAGGGGGCAAGCGUUGUUCGGAAAUACUGGGCGUAAAGCGCACGCAGGCGGCGUCGUAAGUCAGGGGUGAAAGCCCGGAGCUCAACUCCGGAACUGCCUUUAAGACUGCAUCGCUAGAACGUCGGAGAGGUAAGUGGAAUUCCGAGUGUAGAGGUGAAAUUCGUAGAUAUUCGGAAGAACACCAGUGGCGAAGGCGACUUACUGGACGACUGUUGACGCUGAGGUGCGAAAGCGUGGGGAGCAAACAGG
rnacentral:rRNA from 1 species